GAUGAAGAACGCAGCGAAAUGCGAUAAGUAAUGUGAAUUGCAGAAUUCAGUGAAUCAUCGAGUUUUUGAACGCAUAUUGCGCCCUCUGGUAUUCCGGGGGGCAUGCCUGUCCGAGCGUCAUUGCCGCCCUCAAGCACGGCUUGUGUGUUGGGCCCCCGCCCCCCGGCUUCGGGGGGCGGGCCCGAAAGGCAGCGGCGGCACCGCGUCCGGUCCUCGAGCGUAUGGGGCUUCGUCACCCGCUCUGUAGGCCCGGCCGGCGCCCGCCGGCGACCCCAAUCAAUCUUUCCAGGUUGACCUCGGAUCAGGUAGGGAUACCCGCUGAACUUAAGCAUAUCAAUAAGCGGAGGA
rnacentral:misc_RNA from 1 species